AGUGAACGCUGGCGGUAGACCUAACACAUGCAAGUCGAACGGCAGCACAGUAAGAGCUUGCUCUUACGGGUGGCGAGUGGCGGACGGGUGAGGAAUACAUCGGAAUCUACUUUUUCGUGGGGGAUAACGUAGGGAAACUUACGCUAAUACCGCAUACGACCUACGGGUGAAAGCAGGGGAUCUUCGGACCUUGCGCGAUUGAAUGAGCCGAUGUCGGAUUAGCUAGUUGGCGGGGUAAAGGCCCACCAAGGCGACGAUCCGUAGCUGGUCUGAGAGGAUGAUCAGCCACACUGGAACUGAGACACGGUCCAGACUCCUACGGGAGGCAGCAGUGGGGAAUAUUGGACAAUGGGCGCAAGCCUGAUGCAGCCAUGCCGCGUGGGUGAAGAAGGCCUUCGGGUUGUAAAGCCCUGUUGUUGGGAAAGAAAAGCAGCAGGUUAAUACCCCGCUGUUCUGACGGUACCCAAAGAAUAAGCACCGGCUAACUUCGUG
rnacentral:rRNA from 1 species